ACAGUAACUAUUUUCUUGAGGCGUAGUCCUAUAGUUUGGCAUUUGACAUUUAACAUUUAAGUUUCAUUUAACAUAUAGCCUACAUGUCCAAGGAUACAACUCAGCGAAGGCCAUGUGUAACGUUGGUAGCCUACAAUUCGAGUCUGUUUGUAUUUAUUCCACCAGUCCGUUAUAACCUCAUCAGAACCAAUCAGAGCACACUAUUGUACAAGCUCAUGUACCCUGUCUUCAUUCAUCCUCAUCUCAUUCCAUGACGAAAGUAGCCUGAUGGGAUGAUUCCUGUUUUGGGGGAAUGCCAGGAAUGGGUGGGAUUAUGCCAGGAAUGGGUGGUAUUUUGUCCAUAAACAAUUACGGUAUACACAAAGACCAACGUUAGUUCCACAGAAUCUUCAUUUCAGUGGGUUUUAGAUGACCACCACACCCUACCUUGUCCAUCUGCCAACUAGACGAGACAACUAGACCUUAAUUUACUGGCUACUACCAUAACCAAUGGGUAUGGUUGGCGCGGCAUUCCAAAGGUAAAUGCGCAGGCGCAUUGCGGAGAACACCAUAUUAACAACAUCCGAUAAUUUUUGUUCUUUUCAAAUCAAAGUCGGCUUUAAAUGUCAUGAGGAUCACGUUACAUUUGUUUAAAAAAAACCGGAUUGGGAUUAAAUACAUAUUUAGGAAUUCGUUGAAAGGCGUUCAGUCUCUGCUCAAGAUGUUCGAGGAGACUUUUAAAAACUUCACGAUAAAUUUCAACGCUUUAAAUCCGAAAGUUACAUUUUCGGGUGGCGAUGUCGUGUCAGGCCAAGUGUCCUUUGAGCUCAGUAAAGAAGCAAAGAUUCAGUCCAUAAUGAUGUCGCUGAAAGGCAAAGCUAACGUGUUAUGGCAUGAACAACGACAGGGUCCUACAUCAACGGGACAUGGAAGAAGAGGAAGAAGGAGAGCCGGAGGUGCAAAUAGGAGAAGGAGAACAUACUCCGCCGAAUUACAUUUCUUCAAUCUCUCCCACAUUGUGAUGCAAACUAACGAUGGUAGGUUAUGCAACAAUGUGAACCUUUUGAAUUUAAUUGAGUUUCACACUUGAUCAUGAUGUCAGUCAUUCUGCCCUCUGGUAACUUUACCUCAAUGUUGCUUGUCUACAGCAAACGGUCACACAAUUGUACCUCCCGGGAAGCAUGUAUAUCCGUUUACAAUCCAGCUUCCACAUGGUGACUUCCCUUCGUCGUUUAAAGGAACGUAUGGGAAAAUUGUGUAUUCCAUGGUUGUGGCCAUAAACCGACCUUUGCACUUGGCUAAAGAAUUUGAUACGGAUAUCCAGUUUGCCAGCCGCACGGAUGCCAACCAUCCACAUCUUCGGGUGCCUCUUACAGGGGCCAACGCCAAGACUCUGUGCUGCCUGUGGUGCACCAGUGGACCCGUGUCCUUAAACGCACAGCUGGAGCGGAAGGGGUACAGCCCAGGAGAGACUGUGAAAAUUAUUGUGGAAAUCGGAAAUGCCUCCA